rnacentral:sRNA from 1 species
UUCAAAGGUGAGGGCGUCUAUAAACGCGUC